GCCCCUGUGCCCCGACUGCCGCUCGCCCCGCCGCUCGCCACUGAGUUUGCUCUGCUCAGCAUCCUCAGUCCUGCGGUCCGUGACCCAACAGGUUCCCGAGCUCUGCCACUUCCCAAGCAGGUGUUCCUCAAAUCCCCCUGUUCCCCGAGCAUCCCGGUCCCAGGCACGGAGCUCCCCGGGCAGCCGGGCAGCGGGGCCGGCAGCAGAGAGAAGCAGACCCGUGAAGGUGCCCCGGCCUCCAUGGAGAGAAGGGUUCCCGUGCGCGCUACCUGGUCCUGUGCGGUGCCGGGACCCACGGAGUGUCCCCACGCAGGGUCCCCCCAGAGGUC